AAAAAAAGAAAGGAGACGAGGCUCGGGCUAGUAACGGGAGAAAGGAGGGAAAGAAUAAGACACAACGAAAGAGCUAGUUGAGCCUCGUUCCCGCUAAUGAGGAGAAGAAGGAGACGGUGUGUGUGAGGGAGAAUAUUUUGCGCCGAGGUUUCUGGUGUGCCCCAAGCCUACAUGCUGCCGCCACGCAUGCUGCUACUGCUGCUGCUGUAGAGGGCGCUCGGGACUUCGCUGCUGCCAGAGGACGUGCUGUUGCACAUGGACAUGUCCUCAGGACUGGUUUCUCCAUCUCAUAUCACCUUUCUUCACUGAACAGAGGGUUUGAGGAAAGUGCUGCUAACCAUUUCUGAAUUUCCAAGGAUUAGUGAGUACAACGACAUGGUACCAUAACUGAGUUUUACAAAAGCCCAGGU